GAUGAACGCUGGCGGCGUGCCUAAUACAUGCAAGUCGAGCGAACAGACGAGGAGCUUGCUCCUCUGACGUUAGCGGCGGACGGGUGAGUAACACGUGGAUAACCUACCUAUAAGACUGGGAUAACUUCGGGAAACCGGAGCUAAUACCGGAUAAUAUAUUGAACCGCAUGGUUCAAUAGUGAAAGACGGUUUUGCUGUCAGUUAUAGAUGGAUCCGCGCCGCAUUAGCUAGUUGGUAAGGUAACGGCUUACCAAGGCGACGAUGCGUAGCCGACCUGAGGGGGUGAUCGGCCACACUGGAACUGAGACACGGUCCAGACUCCUACGGGAGGCAGCAGUAGGGAAUCUUCCGCAAUGGGCGAAAGCCUGACGGAGCAACGCCGCGUGAGUGAUGAAGGUCUUCGGAUCGUAAAACUCUGUUAUUAGGGAAGAACAAAUGUGUAAGUAACUAUGCACGUCUUGACGGUACCUAAUCAGAAAGCCACGGCUAACUACGUG
rnacentral:rRNA from 1 species